rnacentral:tRNA from 1 species
GGGGAUGUGGCGGAAUAGGUAGACGCUACGGACUUAAAAUCCGUUGAUUUUUAAAAUCGUGAGGGUUCAAGUCCCUCUUUCCCCACCA